UUCGCGUGAGGGAUGGCAGCGGCAUCCUUUUCGGGGCGCGCCCCGGAAAGAUACAGCGCACAGCCCGACGGCGC
rnacentral:sRNA from 1 species